rfam:Chlamydiae bacterium RIFCSPHIGHO2_12_FTLL_49_32 rifcsphigho2_12_scaffold_3085, whole genome shotgun sequence.
GAGGCUUUAGCUCAGCGGUAGAGCAUCUCACUUUUAAUGAGAGGGUCGAUGGUUCGAUUCCAUCAAGCCUCA